rnacentral:misc_RNA from 1 species
CGCACAUUGCGCCCAUUGGUAUUCCGAUGGGCAUGCCUGUUCGAGCGUCAUUUCAACCCUCAAGCCCUGUAGCUUGGUGCUGGAGCUUCUAUAGUCUAAGGCUAUAGGCUCUGAAAGAACUUGGCGGGAUUUUUAUAGACCCGAACGUAGUGAUACUUUUCGUUUAGGGAGUUAUAAAAGUCUUUAGCCGUUAAACCCCCAACUUUUACAAGGUUGACCUCGGAUCAGGUAGGAAUACCCGCUGAACUUAA